UACGAAGGGGGCUAGCGUUGCUCGGAAUCACUGGGCGUAAAGCGCACGUAGGCGGCUUUUAAGUCAGGGGUGAAAUCCCGGGGCUCAACCUCGGAACUGCCUUUGAUACUGGGGAUCUCGAGUCCGGGAGAGGUGAGUGGAAUUGCGAGUGUAGAGGUGAAAUUCGUAGAUAUUUCGCAAGAACACCAGUGGCGAAGGCGGCUCACUGGCCCGGUACUG
rnacentral:rRNA from 1 species